rnacentral:lncRNA from 1 species
GGAGUCGCGAGCGUGUCUAUCAGUUACACGCGGUACUUGAUCGCGCUGUUGCCGACGACGUUUUAGUCCAGCCCCAAAUUUUGCCUCUGAGCAAGAUUCCCAGGACCUCAUUGGAGCAGUUUACAGCCAGUCUUAUCUCACUAUUAACUUCCAUUUUCUGCUGUAGUACUUAAAGUGACAGAAGUUACUCUUCCUAGAAGUAACUUUUCCAGACGAUUCAAACUGCUGUUAUACAGAGAUUUAAGUAUUUGUGUGCAUGUGUGAAAACAGAGAUAUGUAAUGUAUAUAUUUCAUUUUAUUUCCACUGUUCUGCUUCUCUUUUUAAAAAUAAAGCGGUCUCCUCCACUUUGGGUAAAUCUUUC